rnacentral:rRNA from 1 species
UUAAGUUAAUAAGGGCGCACGGUGGAUGCCUUGGCACUAGGAGCCGACGAAGGACGUGACAAACGACGAUAUGCCUUGGGUAGCUGUAAGUAAGCGAUGAUCCAGGGAUUUCCGAAUGGGGGAACCCAACAGGUAAUACCUGUUACCUACAUCUGUUAAGGAUGUGAGGAGGAAGACGCAGUGAACUGAAACAUCUAAGUAGCUGCAGGAAGAGAAAGCAAAAGCGAUUGCCUUAGUAGCGGCGAGCGAAACGGCAGAAGGGCAAACCGAAGAGUUUACUCUUCGGGGUUGUAGGACUGCAAUGUGGACUCAAAGAUUAUAGAAGAAUGAUUUGGGAAGAUCAGCCAAAGAGAGUAAUAGCCUCGUAUUUAAAAUAGUCUUUGUACUUAGCAGUAUCCUGAGUACGGCGGGACACGUGAAAUCCCGUCGGAAUCUGGGAGGACCAUCUCCCAACCCUAAAUACUCCCUAGUGACCGAUAGUGAACCAGUACCGUGAGGGAAAGGUGAAAAGCACCCCGGGAGGGGAGUGAAAUAGAACCUGAAACCGUGUGCCUACAACAAGUUCGAGCCCGUUAAUGGGUGAGAGCGUGCCUUUUGUAGAAUGAACCGGCGAGUUACGUUAUGAUGCGAGGUUAAGUUGAAGAGACGGAGCCGUAGGGAAACCGAGUCUGAAUAGGGCGCCUUAGUAUCAUGACGUAGACCCGAAACCAUGUGACCUACCCAUGAGCAGGUUGAAGGUGCGGUAAGACGCACUGGAGGACCGAACCAGGGCACGUUGAAAGGUGCUUGGAUGACUUGUGGGUAGCGGAGAAAUUCCAAACGAACUUGGAGAUAGCUGGUUCUCUCCGAAAUAGCUUUAGGGCUAGCGUCGACAUUAGAGAUUCUUGGAGGUAGAGCACUGUUUGGGUGAGGGGUCCAUCCCGGAUUACCAAUCUCAGAUAAACUCCGAAUGCCAAUGAAUUAUGGUCGGCAGUCAGACUGCGAGUGCUAAGAUCCGUAGUCGAAAGGGAAACAGCCCAGACCACCAGCUAAGGUCCCAAAAUAAUUGUUAAGUGGAAAAGGAUGUGGGGUUGCACAGACAACUAGGAUGUUAGCUUAGAAGCAGCUAUUCAUUCAAAGAGUGCGUAAUAGCUCACUAGUCGAGUGACCCUGCGCCGAAAAUGUACCGGGGCUAAAACAAUUUACCGAAGCUGUGGAUACCUUUAUAGGUAUGGUAGGAGAGCGUUCUAUGUGUGAUGAAGGUAUACCGUGAGGAGUGCUGGAACGCAUAGAAGUGAGAAUGCCGGUAUGAGUAGCGAAAGACAGGUGAGAAUCCUGUCCACCGUAAGACUAAGGUUUCCAGGGGAAGGCUCGUCCGCCCUGGGUUAGUCGGGACCUAAGGAGAGACCGAAAGGUGUAUCCGAUGGACAACAGGUUGAUAUUCCUGUACUAGAGUAUGUAGUGAUGGAGGGACGCAGUAGGCUAACUAAAGCAGACGAUUGGAAGAGUCUGUCUAAGCAGUGAGGUGUGAAUUGAGUCAAAUGCUUAAUUCUAUAACAUUGAGCUGUGAUGGGGAGCGAAGUUUAGUAGCGAAGUUAGUGACGUCACACUGCCAAGAAAAGCUUCUAGCGUUUAAACAUACUCUACCCGUACCGCAAACCGACACAGGUAGUCGAGGCGAGUAGCCUCAGGUGAGCGAGAGAACUCUCGUUAAGGAACUCGGCAAAAUGACCCCGUAACUUCGGGAGAAGGGGUGCUGACUUAAAGUCAGCCGCAGUGAAUAGGCCCAAGCAACUGUUUAUCAAAAACACAGCUCUCUGCUAAAUCGUAAGAUGAUGUAUAGGGGGUGACGCCUGCCCGGUGCUGGAAGGUUAAGAGGAGUGCUUAGCGUAAGCGAAGGUAUGAAUUGAAGCCCCAGUAAACGGCGGCCGUAACUAUAACGGUCCUAAGGUAGCGAAAUUCCUUGUCGGGUAAGUUCCGACCCGCACGAAAGGCGUAAUGAUUUGGGCACUGUCUCAACGAGAGACUCGGUGAAAUUUUAGUACCUGUGAAGAUGCAGGUUACCCGCGACAGGACGGAAAGACCCCAUGGAGCUUUACUGCAGUUUGAUAUUGAGUGUCUGUACCACAUGUACAGGAUAGGUAGGAGUCUAAGAGAUCGGGACGCCAGUUUCGAAGGAGACGCUGUUGGGAUACUACCCUUGUGUUAUGGCCACUCUAACCCAGAUAGGUGAUCCCUAUCGGAGACAGUGUCUGACGGGCAGUUUGACUGGGGCGGUCGCCUCCUAAAAGGUAACGGAGGCGCCCAAAGGUUCCCUCAGAAUGGUUGGAAAUCAUUCGCAGAGUGUAAAGGUAUAAGGGAGCUUGACUGCGAGAGCUACAACUCGAGCAGGGACGAAAGUCGGGCUUAGUGAUCCGGUGGUUCCGUAUGGAAGGGCCAUCGCUCAACGGAUAAAAGCUACCCUGGGGAUAACAGGCUUAUCUCCCCCAAGAGUUCACAUCGACGGGGAGGUUUGGCACCUCGAUGUCGGCUCGUCGCAUCCUGGGGCUGUAGUCGGUCCCAAGGGUUGGGCUGUUCGCCCAUUAAAGCGGCACGCGAGCUGGGUUCAGAACGUCGUGAGACAGUUCGGUCCCUAUCCGUCGCGGGCGUAGGAAAUUUGAGAGGAUCUGCUCCUAGUACGAGAGGACCAGAGUGGACUUACCGCUGGUGUACCAGUUGUCUUGCCAAAGGCAUCGCUGGGUAGCUAUGUAGGGAAGGGAUAAACGCUGAAAGCAUCUAAGUGUGAAACCCACCUCAAGAUGAGAUUUCCCAUGAUUAUAUAUCAGUAAGAGCCCUGAGAGAUGAUCAGGUAGAUAGGUUAGAAGUGGAAGUGUGGCGACACAUGUAGCGGACUAAUACUAAUAGCUCGAGGACUUAUCCAA